rnacentral:rRNA from 1 species
CGCUAGCUACAGGCUUAACACAUGCAAGUCGAGGGGCAGCAUGAACUUAGCUUGCUAAGUUUGAUGGCGACCGGCGCACGGGUGAGUAACACGUAUCCAACCUGCCGAUGACUCGGGGAUAGCCUUUCGAAAGAAAGAUUAAUACCCGAUGGCAUAGUUCUUCCGCAUGGUAGAACUAUUAAAGAAUUUCGGUCAUCGAUGGGGAUGCGUUCCAUUAGGUUGUUGGCGGGGUAACGGCCCACCAAGCCUUCGAUGGAUAGGGGUUCUGAGAGGAAGGUCCCCCACAUUGGAACUGAGACACGGUCCAAACUCCUACGGGAGGCAGCAGUGAGGAAUAUUGGUCAAUGGACGAGAGUCUGAACCAGCCAAGUAGCGUGAAGGAUGACUGCCCUAUGGGUUGUAAACUUCUUUUAUACGGGAAUAAAGUGAGGCACGUGUGCCUUUUUGUAUGUACCGUAUGAAUAAGGAUCGGCUAACUCCGUGCCAGCAGCCGCGGUAAUACGGAGGAUCCGAGCGUUAUCCGGAUUUAUUGGGUUUAAAGGGAGCGUAGGCGGACGCUUAAGUCAGUUGUGAAAGUUUGCGGCUCAACCGUAAAAUUGCAGUUGAUACUGGGUGUCUUGAGUACAGUAGAGGCAGGCGGAAUUCGUGGUGUAGCGGUGAAAUGCUUAGAUAUCACGAAGAACUCCGAUUGCGAAGGCAGCCUGCUGGACUGUAACUGACGCUGAUGCUCGAAAGUGUGGGUAUCAAACAGGAUUAGAUAUCCUGGUAGUCCACACAGUAAACGAUGAAUACUCGCUGUUUGCGAUAUACAGUAAGCGGCCAAGCGAAAGCGUUAAGUAUUCCACCUGGGGAGUACGCCGGCAACGGUGAAACUCAAAGGAAUUGACGGGGGCCCGCACAAGCGGAGGAACAUGUGGUUUAAUUCGAUGAUACGCGAGGAACCUUACCCGGGCUUGAAUUGCAACUGAAUGAUGUGGAGACAUGUCAGCCGCAAGGCAGUUGUGAAGGUGCUGCAUGGUUGUCGUCAGCUCGUGCCGUGAGGUGUCGGCUUAAGUGCCAUAACGAGCGCAACCCUUAUCGAUAGUUACCAUCAGGUUAUGCUGGGGACUCUGUCGAGACUGCCGUCGUAAGAUGUGAGGAAGGUGGGGAUGACGUCAAAUCAGCACGGCCCUUACGUCCGGGGCUACACACGUGUUACAAUGGGGGGUACAGAAGGCAGCUACACGGCGACAGGAUGCUAAUCCCAAAAACCUCUCUCAGUUCGGAUCGAAGUCUGCAACCCGACUUCGUGAAGCUGGAUUCGCUAGUAAUCGCGCAUCAGCCAUGGCGCGGUGAAUACGUUCCCGGGCCUUGUACACACCGCCCGUCAAGCCAUGAAAGCCGGGGGUACCUGAAGUACGUAACCGCAAGGAGCGUCCUAGGGUAAAACUGGUAAUUG